GAUGAAGAACGCAGCGAAAUGCGAUAAGUAAUGUGAAUUGCAGAAUUCAGUGAAUCAUCGAAUCUUUGAACGCACAUUGCGCCCGCCAGUAUUCUGGCGGGCAUGCCUGUACGAGCGUCAUUUCAACCAUCAAGCCCCGGGCUUGUGUUGGGGACCUGCGGCUGCCGCAGGCCCUGAAAUGCAGUGGCGGGCUCGCUGUCACUCCGAGCGUAGUAAUACAUCUCGCUCUGGACGUGCUGCGGGUUCCGGCCGUUAAAAGCCUUAUUUACCCAAGGUUGACCUCGGAUCAGGUAGGAAGACCCGCUGAACUUAAGCAUAUCAAUAGCGGAGGA
rnacentral:misc_RNA from 1 species